rnacentral:rRNA from 1 species
UACGGGGGGGGCAAGCGUUGUUCGGAAUUACUGGGCGUAAAGGGCUCGUAGGCGGCCAACUAAGUCAGACGUGAAAUCCCUCAGCUUAACUGGGGAACUGCGUCUGAUACUGGAUGGCUUGAGUUUGGGAGAGGGAUGCGGAAUUCCAGGUGUAGCGGUGAAAUGCGUAGAUAUCUGGAGGAACACCGGUGGCGAAGGCGGCAUCCUGGACCAACACUGACACUGAGGAGCGAAAGCCAGGGGAGCAAACGGG